GGAGAACAAGUGAGUCAUGAAAUCGUGCAUUUCAAAGUCGGUUUGAACAAGGACAUCUCCACUUGUUUGACACUUCAUAAGUUUGACACUAUUACUGGCAUCUUUCAAGCGGUAUUAGAGGUGGAAAGAGAGCUCAAAGAGAGCUCAUUCAUGGCUGCCCAAACCGAGAGCACCAAGGCUGCCCCAAAAUAGUCCCGAAGGUAUGAAGGUAAAUCAAUUUAC
rnacentral:lncRNA from 1 species